rnacentral:rRNA from 1 species
UACGUAGGGUGCAAGCGUUGUCCGGAAUUAUUGGGCGUAAAGAGCUCGUAGGCGGUCUGUCGCGUCGGCUGUGAAAACCCGGAGCUCAACUCCGGGCCUGCAGUCGAUACGGGCAGACUGGAGUUCGGCAGGGGAGACUGGAAUUCCUGGUGUAGCGGUGAAAUGCGCAGAUAUCGGGAGGAACACCAGUGGCGAAGGCGAUCACCUGGGGUUGUUCUGACGCUGAGGAGCGAAAGCUAGGGGAGCAAACGGG